rnacentral:rRNA from 1 species
GGGAAGCGAGAUCGAGAGAUGGAGCAAAUCCCAAAAAUAAACGUCCCAGUUCGGACUGUAGUCUGCAACCCGACUACACGAAGCUGGAAUCGCUAGUAAUCGCGGAUCAGAAUGCCGCGGUGAAUACGUUCCCGGGUCUUGUACACACCGCCCGUCACACCAUGGGAGUCAGUAACGCCCGAAGUCAGUGACCUAACCGAAAGGGAGGAGCUGCCGAAGGCGGGACGGAUGACUGGGGUGAAGUCGUAACAAGGUAGC